GAUGAACGCUGGCGGCGUGCCUAACACAUGCAAGUCGAACGGAGUUAUUAUUAUGAAGUUUUCGGAUGGACUUUUAAUAACUUAGUGGCGGACGGGUGAGUAACGCGUGGGUAACCUGCCUCACACAGGGGGAUAACAGUUGGAAACGGCUGCUAAAACCGCAUAAUCAUACAUUGUCGCAUUACAGAGUGUGAAAAUAGUUAUAGGUGUGAGAUGGGCCCGCGUCUGAUUAGCUAGUUGGUAGGGUAACGGCCUACCAAGGCGACGAUCAGUAGCCGGCUUGAGAGAGUGACCGGCCACAUUGGGACUGAGACACGGCCCAAACUCCUACGGGAGGCAGCAGUGGGGAAUAUUGCACAAUGGGGGAAACCCUGAUGCAGCGACGCCGCGUGAGUGAAGAAGUAUUUCGGUAUGUAAAGCUCUAUCAGCAGGGAAGAAAUUGACGGUACCUGACUAAGAAGCCCCGGCUAACUACGUGCCAGCAGCCGCAGUAA
rnacentral:rRNA from 1 species